rnacentral:rRNA from 1 species
CCUACGGGAGGCAGCAGUGGGGGAUAUUGCACAAUGGGGGAAACCCUGAUGCAGCGACGCCGCGUGGGCGAAGAAGUAUUUCGGUAUGUAAAGCCCUAUCAGCAGGGAAGAAGAAAUGACGGUACCUGAGUAAGAAGCACCGGCUAAAUACGUGCCAGCAGCCGCGGUAAUACGUAUGGUGCAAGCGUUAUCCGGAUUUACUGGGUGGAAAGGGAGGGCAGGCGGCACGGCAAGCCUGAUGUGAAAGCCCGCGGCCCAACCGCGGGACUGCAUUGGGAACUACCGGGCUGGAGUGCCGGAGAGGUAGGCGGAAUUCCUAGUGUAGCGGUGAAAUGCGUAGAUAUUAGGAGGAACACCAGUGGCGAAGGCGGCCUACUGGACGGUGACUGACGCUGAGGCUCGAAAGCGUGGGGAGCAAACAGGAUUAGAUACCCUAGUAGUC